GACGAACGCUGGCGGCGUGCUUAACACAUGCAAGUCAAGGGGGCCCGCAAGGGCAACCGGCGAACGGGUGCGUAACACGUGAGCAACCUGCCUUAGUGUGGGGGAUAGCCGGCCCAACGGCCGGGUAAUACCGCAUACGCUCACUGGGUGGCAUCACCUGGUGAAGAAACUUUCGAGGCACUAAGAGGGGCGUCGCGGCCUAUCAGCUUGUUGGUGGGGUAAUGGCCUACCAAGGCAUCGACGGGUAGCUGGUCUGAGAGGAUGGCCAGCCACAUUGGGACUGAGAUACGGCCCAGACUCCUACGGGAGGGCAGCAGUGGGGAAUAUUGCGCAAUGGGCGAAAGCCUGACGCAGCGACGCCGCGUGGGGAGUGAAGCAUUUCGGUGUGUAAACCCCUGUUGCUCGGGACGAACAACUGGUUUUGUACCAGUCUGACGGUACCGAGUGA
rnacentral:rRNA from 1 species